GCACUCUACAAGGAAAAGGAGUAUCUCUGGGAGGAAAUGAACUUUUUAACUUGCAAGAAUGGGAAAUGGCUCAUAAAGAGUUGCUUAUUGGGUUUAUGUUGAUUGCAUUUAAAUCCCAGCUUACUGUAUCAGCAGUAAUCAGGGUCCCUCUACAGGAUAUGUCAAAAUACACCUUAUUCAAAUGCAUUUAUCCUAUCUAGAAAGGCAUGAUAAAACUGUUCGCUAGCUAAAUCCUACAAAACCCUGGCUCCGAGCACUGGCUUUUGCAGAUGUACCUCUAAACUUCUAGUAGUUUAUAGCCUACCAAAUUGUUUUCUUUCCUUCAUUACCAAUGCUUUAAAAAAUCUAAUUAACGCAAUAAAGUAUUUAGCCCUCAUGAACUCUUGCAAGCAAAACAGGUUUUAGAAAAAGAAAGCAACUACAAUAUAUAUAUUUUUUUAAUGAGUGGAACAUUACCAAUUUCUUAACUGCCAUCUACUUAAAAUCCAAGUGCAUUUUCCAGUAGUAGUUUCGUGCUGUGUGGAUGACACUAUCAUGCUAACUCUUGCUUUGUGUGGGUUUGGUGUAGGCUUUUGAAAAGCAAGACGUGUCUAGGAGGGAGGCACCAGGGAACUUCCCUCCCUCGCUUGAGCACAGUCCAAGAUGAAAGUUUCUGGGUUGUUUCCCUUCGCUUCCUCUCACCCUCGCUCCCCCUCGGAGCCGCAGAGCCAGCAAUUGUGCAAGAAGAGCCGGGUGUGCAGGGCGCGUAUCACCAAGCGCAUGGUACGAGCCGCCGACUCUGGUGAUUAAUUAUCAGUUGCCGCUGGCCUCACACUAACACGUCGGCUUUCGGGGCAGAGCCAGCACACCCAGCCGCCGGCAGCGCGGCCCGGACCGAGCAGCGGCUCUGGGGAGGACGCCGCGGCUGCGCCCGAGUUUACACCUUCUCCAGAUGGCUCCUGGCAACCUUGGUUGGACAUUUCAACAUAUAGGAAACUCAGCCAGAACAGCCUGAAGAUUUCAGGGGACAAGAUCAUGGUCCAAACUGGAAAAUGCAGCUCACUCCAGGAAGGACUAACAGUCACCUGACUAGGAGAAGACUGGCCCCAAAGCGCUGGGAAGAAGUCAUUCUAUAGUGAGUGAGAGCCAAGGGAAGGGGGAGCAGAGCUCAAAGAGGCCACACAGCUUAGGAUGUGUUGUCAGUACAACAAUAAGGGGUAUGGGCUUCAGAGUAAGAUCAGGCUUCGAUCUGAAAAUCCCAGUGCUGUCCCUUACUAGUGACAUAGUUUCCCCACCUGCAAAUGGGAGAAAAGUAGUCUCCAUUUCACCAGCUUAAUGUGAAGACUCAACAAUGAUGCAUGUAAAUCACUGAGCAGGAUGCAGUAAGCACUCAAUUAGCAGCAAAUGUGCCACCUCUUACUACAUUAACAUGGACGGAGCUUCACUGCCAUUCAAGCUUGUCUGAGAUCCUGAGAAAACCCUGGUGCUGUGAAGUGCGCACCACCCAGCAGGGUAUUUCCAGACUCCAAGAAGUGCUCUAGGAAAAAUCCCUGAAUCUGGAACCCCUGAGAAGGAGGAAGCUGGAAAGAGGGGCUGCAGGUGGGCAUGCAGCCCAAUGGUUUGCUCAAUGAAUUACUUGCCCUCAAAUAAAUGUUAGACCCAAUAGUCAUGACUAGAAACAGAAAGCUCAUUCCCCGCUGAAGCACUUCAACAGCAGGACACUUGACACAGUACUGUGUCAAAUCUAGAAGGUGAGCUCCAGAUCUCAGAAUGUGACAGACUGGUCAUCCAGAGAUAUGGGAGAGUGGACCAGGGACGCCCAUCCACUGUCACUUAAAGAUCAGGGCCAACCCUCAAUGUUGACAGAGAUGGGCUAGUUGUGCUCUUCUGUUUAAGUGAAAAAGAGAUGGUGGGAAUAAGAAAUCUCUCCCUAAAGGUCAUCCACUCUUGAAAAUAGACACUUUUCUUUCCUCAUGAUCCAUAGUCAGAAAGCAUUUCCAAAUCGUAAGUACUAUAUGACAUCAACAUCUUUAAAUUAAUUUGGUCUAUGGCUUAAGAACUCAAAAGACAGGCACUUGGAGGAAAAGAGCCAAAACUGAAAUGAUCCACGUGAACACUGGAACAACUACCUCCAAAUUAGGAGCUUACCCACAGUGACUGUGAUAACCAAUCUCCCAGGGGUUGAUUCACUUGAAAAGCUUUGUAUCCCUCCCCCAAUUCAUACAAUAUUUUUUUUCUGAGCAAGGUGACCUAAUCUGGAGUGGAAUGUGCUGUAUCUGUCCUGAGGCCAAGAGGUGGCACUGAGUCUAACAGGUAUGAAAAAAGUUACCAGUCUGGUGAGACUGAUAGGCUUAUAUCCCUCUAUACUUAAAAUAUGGUUUUCAACACAAGCUACCUCAGAAUUAAUAAAUCUUUCAACAGACUGUGUAGGACAAUGUGCUCCCAGGUAUCUGAAAUUAAAACCAAACUUAAUAUCUGCUAUUCUGGAAGUCUGUUAAAAACUGU